rnacentral:tRNA from 1 species
UGCGACAUGGCUGAGUGGUAAGGCAGAGGACUGCAGAUCCUUUUUUCCCCAGUUCAAAUCUGGGUGUCGCUU